AACGAGAUACUAACGUUCGCCUGUAUAAUUAUGGUGAUAAGGUCCAUAAGUCUCUACCAGACUGCCGUAAAUAGUCUGCCUACAGGUUUUAACCCAGGGUUU
rfam:[Clostridium] litorale DSM 5388 strain W6 CLIT_10c, whole genome shotgun sequence.